rnacentral:rRNA from 1 species
UACAGAGGGGGCAAGCGUUGUUCGGAAUUACUGGGCGUAAAGGGCGCGUAGGCGGCCUGUUAAGUCGAACGUGAAAUCCCCGGGCUCAACCCGGGAACUGCGUCCGAUACUGGCAGGCUUGAAUCCGGGAGAGGGAUGCGGAAUUCCAGGUGUAGCGGUGAAAUGCGUAGAUAUCUGGAGGAACACCGGUGGCGAAGGCGCGAUCCUGGACCGGGCAUUGACGCUGAGGCGCGAAAGCCAGGGGAGCGAAACGGGG